rnacentral:rRNA from 1 species
GACGUAGGGCGCAAGCGUUGUCCGGAAUUAUUGGGCGUAAAGAGCUCGUAGGUGGCGUGUCGCGUCUGCCGUGAAAGCCCAUGGCUUAACUGUGGGUCUGCGGUGGAUACGGGCAGGCUGGAGGCUGGUAGGGGCAAGCGGAAUUCCUGGUGUAGCGGUGAAAUGCGCAGAUAUCAGGAGGAACACCGGUGGCGAAGGCGGGUCUCUGGGCCGAUACUGACGCUGAGGAGCGAAAGCGUGGGGAGCGAACAGG